UGUCAGUAGAAGCCAUACCGUCCUGGGUUGGUGACAGGGAUUCCAUUUUGCCCCUUGCACUGCAAGGCAGAGGCCUUGAGUCCCAGCUCCCGUCAUCCACAGGGUUGUGAAGGGAAGGAACAGGGUGCUUGGGCCCUGCCCUGCAGAUGGGAUCCAGAGAGGUGAUGCGUUCAGGGCAUUCAACCUGAGUCAAGGGGCUUCCAGGGACACGAGCCCCUUUGAAGUUGAGGACUCUGCAGGCAGGGACCCUGGCACACAGGACAUCCCUGGGGAGCCGACUGCCACGGCCCCCAUGCUCAUGGAGAGAACUGGGGUGACCCACAUGGAUGCACCCGUCUUUCAUAAUGUACUUCUGAGAAUGCAGGCGGAAGACAGAGCUGGGAGGGCCUCCCUGUCGGCCUUCCGUCUCACACAGCCGGAUCCAAAGUCUAUCCCAACCUCAUCUGUGGCAAGACAGAGCCUCAGGCUGGUUCAGUCCCACAGCAGCUGCUCAGCAAGUAUGAGUGAGUGUCUGUCUACGCCUCUCCGUGUGCAGGAGACAGCACCUGACAUUGAGACCCCCCGCAGCAGGCCCCGUGCAGGGAUCUUCAUUUAUACUGGUUUAGGCUUCCUUCCUGGUAUUUGAGUCAUUUCCCAAGGUCUUUGCAGCAGCCAAGGAACUCACUACUCAAGGCGGCCUCCCAGUUCUGUUGCUUGUUCCUCCAGUAGCCUUCUACUCAGAGGCAGGCUGAAGCUGGGCAGAUUUGGGAGAAAAUAAGGUCUGAAGACAGGGCUCUGUACAGAGGCGGGGUUCCUGUAUGCUGUUGUCCUGGCUGCUCCUGCCCCUGGGUGGCAGUGGGCAGGUGCACCUCAAAAACUGCAGUAACAGCCUGUGUUUAUAAAUAAAGCUUUAUUGG